UCUAAAUUGCAAGCAGGGUUUUGUAACCCUGGGUUAAUUUCAGGGAUAACGCCGCUUCUAAAUUGCAAGCAGGGUUUCAUAACCCUGGGUUAAUUUCAGGGAUAACGCCACUUCUAAAUUACAAGCAGGGUUUCGUAACCCUGGGUUAAUUUCAAGGAUAACCCCGCUUCUAAAUUGCAAGCAGGGUUUUAUAACCCUGGGUUAAUUUCAGGGAUAACCCCGCUUCUAAAUUACAAGUUUGGAACACUUUUAACCUAGAGUUUAUAUUUCCAGUUCUGGUUUGAAUUUAAAAUUUAAAAUCAAUAAUGAUAAAUAAGGUGUGUUUUCUUUUAAGAUAAUCUAGUGUGACAACUUACCGACGAUGGAGCAAAUUGUCACUAGUGAACAUUUUCUAUUCAACAGUUUACAACUCUGUAAUGAAAUAAGAUAUGAAAAUCUAACGAAUACAACAUAUGUGCCCAAUACUUCCUUCUUUCAUUUGGUAUAAGAUUUAUACCAUUCUGAUGUAUGGUGCUUAGUAAAUGUUAGACAGUGUGAAAGGUGUGACAACUUAUCCCGCUCUCCCCUAAGCUAAAACUACAGUGAGCAUUGGCAGGCUCCUGCUUUCACAAUUGUACUUUUCCUUUUGUAUAAACCCUGAUUAACAGCAUUUUUUCACAGUUGCAGUAACGCCAUUUUAGGGAGGAAAUUUUAGGCUGGAGCUGAAUGGAUGGACUAUUCCACAGAGACCGAAAAUCUUCAGCGGCUGUAUCUCUGAUGAGUAUCAGCUAUUAGCUGUUCUCUGCUGGAUAUUCUCCUGGGUUCUGCUUCUGCUGAGCGCUGGGCUGCUCCGCUCUCUCCUUAUCAUGCCUGUCCACCUGUCACACUUGGCCUUCUGUCCACUCCCCGCUGCGAAAGUGAGAUUUGCAUUGGUCUUUGGUGUCCUAUCCAAUCUCUUUUGUUCUCUCGUGCUCUCUUGAUUUGACUGGAUUGUGGAAGAGAAAUGAUUGUGUAGCCUCAGACCCUGGGGAUGUCUGUGAUGUAAAGAUUGUGAUGGCUACGAGACAUAAUGCUAUUGAUUUGCUCGUGAAUCGCGUGGACAGCAACCAUGCUGCAAUCUGGGGCAACGUCUGAGCAUGUGUACGUACCACAUCAGAGCUCUGCAGAAAGGACAUGACAAUGUUUUGAUACGGUCAUCAUGUCCUCUUGCCUGAUGCUUUGUAAUGCCUCUCUGACAGAGUCAGGACGUAAUGGGAUCCAUAUGGGGCCGCUGGAGCCCGCUAGAUCAGCACCACAGCUAGUCAGGCACAGGAAAGGUGACAAUUUGACUACUUUUCAUGGCUCCGGUAA